AGAAUCAACGCUGGCGGCGUGCCUAACACAUGCAAGUCGAACGAGAAAGUGGAGCAAUCCAUGAGUAAAGUGGCGACCGGGUGAGUAACACGUGACUAACCUACCUUCGAGUGGGGGAUAACCUCGGGAAACCGAGGCUAAUACCGCAUAACAUCGCAAGAUCAAAGCAGCAAUGCGCUGGAAGAGGGGGUCGCGGCUGAUUAGCUAGUUGGCUGGGUAACGGCCCACCAAGGCGAAGAUCGGUAGCCGGCCUGAGAGGGCGCACGGCCACACUGGAACUGAAACACGGUCCAGACUCCUACGGGAGGCAGCAGUGGGGAAUUUUGCGCAAUGGGGGAAACCCUGACGCAGCAACGCCGCGUGGAGGAUGAAGCCCCUUGGGGCGUAAACUCCUUUCGACCAAGACGAUAAUGACGGUACUGGUGGAAGAAGCACCGGCUAACUCUGCGCCAGCAGCCGC
rnacentral:rRNA from 1 species